ensembl:snRNA U6 U6 spliceosomal RNA
AUGAUCACUUCGGCAGCACAUAUACUAAAAUUGGAACAAUACAGAGAUUAGCGUGGCCCCUGCCCAUGGAUGACACGCAAAUUCGUGAAGCAUUCCGUAUCUUU